rnacentral:rRNA from 1 species
UGGGGAAUAUUGCACAAUGGGGGAAACCCUGAUGCAGCGACGCCGCGUGAGUGAAGAAGUAUUUCGGUAUGUAAAGCUCUAUCAGCAGGGAAGAAAGAAAUGACGGUACCUGACUAAGAAGCCCCGGCUAACUACGUGCCAGCAGCCGCGGUAAUACGUAGGGGGCAAGCGUUAUCCGGAUUUACUGGGUGUAAAGGGAGCGUAGACGGCAUGGCAAGUCUGAAGUGAAAUGCCAGGGCUUAACCCUGGAACUGCUUUGGAAACUGUCUAGCUAGAGUGCAGGAGAGGUAAGUGGAAUUCCUAGUGUAGCGGUGAAAUGCGUAGAUAUUAGGAGGAACACCAGUGGCGAAGGCGGCUUACUGGACUGUAACUGACGUUGAGGCUCGAAGGCGUGGGGAGCAAACA